CCCUACUCCAAGUCCAGAGCCCCCAGGUGUGAUUGGAAAUAAAAUACUGCCACAUCUUUUCUCUGGGAAAAGACCUUCCUCCUCCCCUAUUGCUGUAGGUUGGGAGAUGGUAAAUCUCUUCCCUGAACCAUGGACUUCGCACGUCAGGUUCCUGGAGAGAUCUCUCUGGAGAGGAAAGGGAGAGGGAGCCACUGAAAUCAAGUUCAGACUUGUUAGAGGGAGUCGUGUUGAAAAGGCGCCCCAAACAUGUGAAAUGCAGCUGUUCCCGGCGCCGAGAGAAUGGCGAUGAUUUUCCUGGCGAGACAUGGAGACCAUCAUAUGAGGAGCAGUUAAGCAAUAAUUUAACACUGCUGUUCUGCUGAGAGCUGGUGCGAGCUGCUUCUGGCAGGAGGGUUUGGGGGGAACUUGUUUUCUCGGUGGGAAAUCACAAAGCCUUUCCAUUUGACUUUCACUUAAAUCCCUGAAUGUUUGGUUGUAGGUGUCGCUUCAUUCAUUCAUUUACGAACACGUUGUAAGCACCUCCUACAUGCUAGGCACUGACUGAUUUCUCUGCCUCAGUGUUUUUCCAGGUAUCCGUUCCUUUUUUAUUCAUUAUGAAUAAACAUGCAGGUAUUUAUUUGUUAGUUUAUUACGCAAACAUUUUCCAAACCAGGCACAUGCCUGGCGCUGUGCUAGAGAUACAGGAGUUAAUGGGGCCCGUGCUUUUCCUUCAAAGAACUGAUUGUCUGGUGGGGGAAGUGGACAUCUACAUGGGUCAAGGAAAUGCAGAGGGUCAGCCUGAUAAUUAACUGAUAAUUAAGAACACGGUAUGUGCAUGCGUGCUCAGUCAUGUUUGACUCUUUUUGACUCCAUGGACUGCAGCCCGCCAGGCUCCUCUGUUCCAGGCAGGAAUGCUGGAGUAGGUACCCAUUCCCUUCCCCAGGGGAUCUUCCCAACCCAGAAUCAAACUCUCGUCUCCUGCAUCUCCUGCAUUGGCAGGUGGAUUCUUUACCAGUGAGCCAUGGUGGGAUUCCAUUUACUGAGCAUCUGCUAUACACCAGUCACUUUAUCCACAUUGCUAUUUAUAACACGUCAUACCCAAGCCAUUCCUUAAAGCAGGGUAGCCAUUAACAUCCCUGUUCUGUGGAUGAGAAAAGAGAGGUUCUGAGAGGUUGAGUACCUUGCCCCAAGCUAUAAGUAACAGAACUAAGAUUCAAGCCCAAUCAGAGCCCAAGCAUCCACUCUGCUGUGUUGCCCUCAGGCACAAGCAGGAGAGAAAAAUGCAACAGGAGAAACUGAAGCAACUGGCAGGCUCUGAUGGGGGCGUCUGCCCUGGGUUCUGGAGGCUGAAUUUAAGAGUUUUGCUGUCAGAGAAGAUCAGGAGAGCUUUCCUAGGGAGGCAAACAGAACAUCUUGAAAGAAUGAGGCAUUUGGGCACUGAGGGAGGCAAAGGAGAGGCUUUGGAGGGUAAAGUGUGGGAACCAAUUUCUGGGUUGCCCAGGUAAUCUCAAAUUGGUCUGUUCGGCUACAACAGACAGCUGAGAGUCUGAGGCUCUUCCUGGGAUGUGUGCGCGUGCGCUCAGUCCCUCAGUUGUGUCCAGCUCUUUGCCACUCCAUGGACUGUAGCCCACCAGGCUCCUCCAUCCACAGGAUUCUCCUAGGAUGAGAGCUAAGCACUUCAGAGAGCCAGCUAUCACCCACCCAUAAGCGGCAAGUGCACACAAAGGUCAGUCACACCCGUGUGAAAAUUUCAUCCACCCAACUCUGAAAUCUCAGACGUGAAACCUCCACCCACACAUCAGGGCGGAACUGCCAGUAAGCACUGAUGUGUGCUGCAUUUUAAAGUCUGGGCGAGGUGGCUGAUUACAGAUGCUGUUCUCAGAGCCCUGGAAUAAAGUUUCUCAUCCCACAAGAGCCAAGGCUGGUCCCCAAAGUAAUUGGCAUUGCAUUAUUGAUAAAGGUGUUGGGCCACGCAUGCACCGAGGAAUCCAUCUUCUUCUCUGACAUCCGAUUACUCCGUGAGGCUCCUCCGUUCACCUUGGGCUCGCGUGCAGCUCCAGAGGCACAGAUUCCUUCACUCAUCGGCAACUUCACGACGUGUGCUGUGUCCAGGGGAGAAAGAAAAGGGAGGGAGGAGGCAUGAGCAGUGUGUCAGUUUUGAAAUAUUUGUCGUGAAUAUAUAUUUUUUUUUAAAAAAAGGGGGACUUCUGUCCUCUUGUCCUUUCUCUGCCGUCUUAGAAAUUUGAUUAGUCGUUAUUAAAUAUUUUGAAGUGGAGGAAAAACAGGGAGAAGUUUCCAAGGGCAAGCCACAGCUUUGAUCUUGACAGCCGUCAUUGUCAGGAGCCGACAUAAAGGCGCCUUGCGUUAGGCUGGCGUUAACACGUUGAGAUGCUGGUAAUUAGGGCCUUGUAAUGACCCGUUCCAGAAAGAAACAGCUCUAUUCCUUAUUUGCCAUUAAAGAACAACCAAGAGUUUAUUUGCAGAGAAUUGGGUUUAAUUCAAUUAGCAGGAAUUGUGAGGCAUUCACAACACAAGGUAUAUUAGCCUGGUACUUGGUUUGUAAUGACACCCAGAAAGCAUUUAGGGAAAGAAAAGCUAAUUAUCCAAGAUUCUUCAUUUAUUUUUUUUUUUCUUCUUUUCAAUAACAUGGAGGGUUUAGUCCAAAUUUCAGAGGCCUGUAUUCCCAAAUCCCUUAAGCUUUAAUUAACGAUUAACAGAGCAGCAGGAUAUGGAGAGGGACAAGAAAUCUUUGCCGUGGAGUCAGUGCCAAAGGGGAUUAUUAAUAACCCCCACCCUGAGACAGCACUUCACAGUUUACAGAGCGUUUCCACCACCAUUAUCUGCUUUGAAUAUUCAUUUCCUUGUCUCUCUGAGCCAGUUCCCUGGUUGCUGAGUGUCUUUUUCACCCGGCCCGUCUUGACUUUCAGAUAUCGUCUCCUGUGUCUGAGUAAGUCCAUGGCCAGCCUGGCCGUUCGCUUUAGGAGACACACAUGGGAAGCUGGGGAGAGUGGGUGCAGCUCUGACCUCCACCUUCCUCCAGGUCCGUGGCCUUGGGCAGUUGCGGAACUCCUUUAGACUUCAGUUUGCUUUUCUUUCUCACCCCCGUGUGUAUCUCUGCUGUCCAACAUGGUGACCAGUUUCACCUGAGGCUAGUUGCGCAUAAGGAAUUAAGAUUAAGUAAAAGCCCGUUGGUUGCACGAGGCACAGGCUAAGCACUGGGCAGCCGGUCGCUGGUGUUUGCUGUCUUGGGCAGCUCAGGUGUGGCUCAUCUCCAUCUUCGCCGAGCGUUCUUGGGGCGGGGCAGGGAUGGGAGGCAGCUCUCCUCUUUUGAGGGUGGUGUGGGGAGCAUUUAGUGAGAAAAUGCUGAGCGGGCAUGUGGCUUAUGACAGAUGCUCGCCACUAGCAUCUGUGAUGAGGCGGAGGGGUGGGAGGAGAGGAAAGGAGGGCUCCCACAAAGCCCCUCCUACCCUCAUGGUUUUUUUUUUUUUUUAGGGGGGAGGGGAGUAUAGUGAUUUACAACAUUGUGUUAGAUCCAGGUGUAUCUUCCUGUGCCUGAUAGGAUGCAAAGAACGGUGGAGGAAGCAUUAUGGAAGAGAGAGCAACUUCUGCUCAGUGUAGUUGACAUGCUCUGUCAUCUCUGUCUCUGGGUUGUAAUUCCACAAGUUGGUGCUGACCAUCUCCCAUAUUCCUCACAUUAACCUAGUGAGGGAGCUUUUCUGUCCCCCACUGACAGGCAGGUGGAGUAGCAAGGGCUCAGGCAGGAGACACGGACACCUGAAAUGCUGGGCCGGAGGGCUUUGGAGCCGGGGCCCCCCUGCCCUAGGACCAGCAGGACCCAGGACCCAUUUUCUCUCCCACCUCCAUUGGCAGACUUCCAGCUCGUUCUUGCUGAGAUACAAGUGACCGCAAUGCACAAGGCGAGGGGAGCUGUUAAUUCGGGCCCUGAACAGCGUGUGUUCUGAUGAGUUUUUAUGAUCGUCUUCCCGACACACAGCUCCCCUGCAGCUCUUGUGUGAUCCUGGGCUGAGCCCUCUCCCUGCCAGUGUCUUCAGAGCUUGGAGCUGCUCCGUCAUUUGAUCCUGAGAAGUAAACACUGAGACUGCUCCCCCUGAAAGCCUCUCUGGCUACUCCCUGUGUAGCCCUGCAGGAUCCUACUCCCAGCUCAAGCGGAAUGUGAUGUGUCCAAUUUGUUCGCCUCUGCACAUCAUCUGCUCACAGAUGUUUGUCCUUUGGCUUGUUUCAUUUUCUAAUUAAUUUCAGAUUAAGUUUGGAAACACCUUCUGUCUCCACCAGUUCCCGCCACCCCAGGUAUUGAAAGCAGCGUGCUUUGAGCAGGAACCUGGCGAGAAGUAAAGGCGGCAGGAUGAGAGGCUCGGUAAAGACGGAGUUUGGCUGAAGUCAAGCCUCAGCCUGGUCCCACAGGGAGCCCUGGGGUGUGAGGAGCACCACGGAGCUUUCACAGCUUGCUGUUGUCGUUUAGUUGCUAAGUCGUGUCCACCUCUUUGCAACCCAUGAACUGCAGCACACCAGGCUUCCCUGUCCUUCCUUGUCUCCUGGAGUUUGCUCAAACUCAUGUCCAUUGAGUCAGU